rnacentral:rRNA from 1 species
CCCUUAGAUGUUCUGGGCCGCACGCGCGCUACACUGACGAAUGCAACGAGCUUAUAACCUUGGCCGAAAGGUCUGGGUAAUCUCCAAAUUUCGUCGUGAUGGGGAUAGAUUAUUGCAAUUAUUAAUCUUCAACGAGGAAUGCCCAGUAAGUGCAAGUCAUAAGCUUGCGCUGACUACGUCCCUGCCCUUUGUACACACCGCCCGUCGCUACUACCGAUUGAAUGAUUUAGUGAGGACUUCGGACUGGGACCGAUGCGGCUUUCGGGCUGCGUCGGUAUUCUGGAAAGAUGUCCAAACUGUAUCAUUUAGAGGAAGUAAAAGUCGUAACA